UGAGAGACUCUGGAUUGUGGGCCGAAUGGAGAAUGAAGCCUUUUCAAAUUCACCUCCCAGGAUACCUGGAUUCACUUUAUAGCUCUUCCAUGUAUAAAUCUAAUGGAUAACACAACAUCUCUGAGGCUCAUAUUUUGAUCCAUAAAACUGGGAUCAGAGUUGACCUACAAAUGAUCUGCAAGUUUCUACAGUGAACCCACUAGGAAACACUUCUAGAGAUAAGAGUGUUUCAUAAGUAUGAGACCUCAUGAUGGAAAGUCUGAAUUUUCUUUCAAAAUUAAGAAACCUAUAUAUUUGGGUGAAGCAUAAUGCAAAAUCAUAUUCCUUCUAAGACUUCAGGAGAACUUUCCAACUAAUAUAAUUGUGUGAUUAUUACUAUUCUUUGAAGAUCUGUGAUUUAGAAAGUAUUUAAACCAUGAGUGUUUAAAAACUGUUUGUAUUUUAGGUUCACUGACAGCAAUAUAUUACUUUAUCAAAUUAAAUAGACUUAAGAAUAAUA
rnacentral:lncRNA from 1 species